rnacentral:rRNA from 1 species
UACGGGGGGAGCAAGCGUUGUUCGGAUUUACUGGGCGUAAAGGGCGCGUAGGCGGUCAGCACAAGUCAGUUGUGAAAUCUCCGGGCUUAACUCGGAAAGGUCAACUGAUACUGUGCGACUAGAGUGCAGAAGGGGCAUCUGGAAUUCUCGGUGUAGCGGUGAAAUGCGUAGAUAUCGAGAGGAACACCUGCGGCGAAGGCGGGUUGCUGGGCUGACACUGACGCUGAUGCGCGAAAGCCAGGGGAGCGAACGGG